rnacentral:lncRNA from 1 species
ACACCAACGAGGAUCUUGGUGGGUGCUCUUGUUUGUUUUGUUUUAAGAAUCUGUUUAUUACUAGUUUCCAUAUUUGAUUCCUUUGUUGCUUUGACAGGAAUUUCUUCCAGAAAGUCGACAGGAACACUGAAGCAGGAAACAGAUGAUCCUAACUACUAUCAGUUUAAUACUCCAGCAGGCCCUUCCAAAACAUCAGAGACAGAUGAAAAAAUUCCUCCUGGAAUAAGUUACACAGAUUCCUCCCAGCAGGAUGCAUCAGAAACAAGUGAGGAUUCUGAGGCUGAAUUCACUAGUGGAGCUGCUGAUGAUGAUGAUGAUUACUUACAUCCAGACAAUAGACUGCAGAGCACCACGCCAGCUAAUGAAGCUGCCGAUACUGAAAGACAACCAGAAGAGUUCAGUUUUGGUAAGAUGAAAAUUAAAGGUGAUUUUAUCUCCCUGCUUUCUGUUAUGGAAAGGUUUUGGGUAAAUUUUUACUGCAAAAAAAUUCAGUAUGGUAACAAAAAUAACUGUCACAUCAACUGAUUAUUUAGAACCAUUUUGAGAGAAUUAGAG